ACUCCUGCGGGAGGCAGCAGUGGGGAAUUUUGGACAAUGGGCGAAAGCCUGAUCCAGCAAUGCCGCGUGUGUGAAGAAGGCCUUCGGGUUGUAAAGCACUUUUGUCCGGAAAGAAAUCCUUGGCUCUAAUACAGUCGAGGGAUGACGGUACCGGAAGAAUAAGAACCGGCUAACUACGUGCCAGCAGCCGCGGUAAUACGUAGGGUGCGAGCGUUAAUCGGAAUUACUGGGCGUAAAGCGUGCGCAGGCGGUUUGCUAAGACCGAUGUGAAAUCCCCGGGCUCAACCUGGGAACUGCAUUGGUGACUGGCAGGCUAGAGUAUGGCAGAGGGGGGUAGAAUUCCACGUGUAGCAGUGAAAUGCGUAGAGAUGUGGAGGAAUACCGAUGGCGAAGGCAGCCCCCUGGGCCAAUACUGACGCUCAUGCACGAAAGCGUGGGGAGCAAACAGGAUUAGAAACCCUUGUAGUCCCAUG
rnacentral:rRNA from 1 species